rnacentral:tRNA from 1 species
GCCGAAAAAGCUCAGAUGAAAGAGCGUCAGACUGAAGAUCUGAAGGUCCCCGGUUCAAUCCCGGAUUUCGGCA